rnacentral:lncRNA from 1 species
AAGCUGAUCUCACAGGAUGAGUGAUCUGCUGUGAAGAUUGUAUGGAGACAGCAAACUAAGAAUAACUACUCUGAUCCACAGAAAAAGAGUUCUCAAUGCCGACUCUCCCCAACUCUCCCUCCAGUGGCUUUUGCUGUUACUGUUUGAGACACACGUUUGCUACACAGCCUACUCAUGUCAGAUUCAUGAUUCGCCUGCUGUAACCUAAGUGCUCAGAUUGCAGCACGCUCCUCCAUGGCCAACUGUUGGCUAGUCUUUUUAAUUCCUAAUUUAAAAAUGGUGACUUACUGUUUGUAUUGCCACUAGUAUCUGUAUUUACAGGACACAUUAUAGGAAGCUAUUUAAUAAACUUAAGUAGACAAUUUUCCUUACCCCUCAGGGUUAGAAACUGGAUUUUUAUUUAUUUACUCUAUUUGUAGACCUUUUCAUAAAGUAUGCCACAUAGUAGACAUUAGAAAAUAUCUUUAAAUUAAUUAAUGGGUAAAUUAUCUCCUCUAUUUAUAGAAAAGUGCAAAA